GGCCGAUAAGAUCAUCAAUAUAAAAACACUAGCCUUAUAGUAAACAAUGGCCUAUUACACAGCUGCACAUUGAAAGGUGGAGGCAACAUGUUCCAGCCGAAAGUUGGUAACCACUGACAAGUUGAUCCUGAAGACCAGAAUCUACAUUUUCAUUUUGUAUAUAACAGGCAUAACACUGCCCGCCGUUGUCUGCAACCGCUAACAGAAGUUUAGCGUAAAGAAAUAUUUUCUGCAACUCCCAUUGUACUGUGAAUGGUAAACAUCAUGCAAGACAUAUAUCUGAUCAGUCACUAUAUACAAAUUUGAGUUAGUGUUUCAAAAAAUUAUUAUUUUGGGAUCAUAUGUUUCCGGA